rnacentral:rRNA from 1 species
CCUACGGGAGGCUGCAGUCGAGAAUCAUUCACAAUGGGGGAAACCCUGAUGGUGCGACGCCGCGUGGGGGAAUGAAGGUCUUCGGAUUGUAAACCCCUGUCAUGUGGGAGCAAAUUAAAAAGAUAGUACCACAAGAGGAAGAGACGUCUAACUCUGUGCCAGCAGCCGCGGUAAUACAGAGGUCUCAAGCGUUGUUCGGAAUCACUGGGCGUAAAGUGUGCGUAGGCGGUAUCGAAAGUCGUGGGUGAAAGGCGCGGGCUCAACCCGCGGACGGCACAUGAUACUGGGAGACUAGAGUAAUGUAGGGGGAAACGGAAUUCUCGGUGUAGCAGUGAAAUGCGUAGAUAUCGAGAGGAACACUCGUGGCGAAGGCGGGUUACUGGACAGUAACUGACGCUGAGGAACGAAGGCCAGGGGAGCGAAAGGGAUUAGAUACCCGUGUAGUC